rnacentral:rRNA from 1 species
GAAGAACGCAGCGAAAUGCGAUAAGUAAUGUGAAUUGCAGAAUUCAGUGAAUCAUCGAAUCUUUGAACGCACAUUGCGCCCGCCAGCAUUCUGGCGGGCAUGCCUGUUCGAGCGUCAUUU